UACGAAGGGGACUAGCGUUGUUCGGAAUCACUGGGCGUAAAGCGCACGUAGGCGGAUUCGUAAGUCAGGGGUGAAAUCCCGGGGCUCAACCUCGGAACUGCCUUUGAUACUGCGGGUCUUGAGUCCGAUAGAGGUGGGUGGAAUUCCUAGUGUAGAGGUGAAAUUCGUAGAUAUUAGGAAGAACACCGGUGGCGAAGGCGGCCCACUGGAUCGGUACUGACGCUGAGGUGCGAAAGCGUGGGGAGCAAACAGG
rnacentral:rRNA from 2 species